GCGGGCUAGCGUUGUCCGGAAUCAUUGGGCGUAAAGCGCGUGUAGGCGGCCCGAUAAGUCCGCUGUGAAAGUCCAGGGCUCAACCCUGGGAUGCCGGUGGAUACUGUCGGGCUCGAGUCCGGAAGAGGCGAGUGGAAUUCCUGGUGUAGCGGUGAAAUGCGCAGAUAUCAGGAGGAACACCAAUGGCGAAGGCAGCUCGCUGGGACGUGACUGACGCUGAGACGCGAAAGCGUGGGGAGCAAACAGGAUUAGAUACCCUGGUAGUCCACGCUGUAAACGAUGGGCACUAGGUGUGGGGGGUGUCGACUCCCUCCGUGCCGAAGCUAACGCAUUAAGUGCCCCGCCUGGGGAGUACGGCCGCGAGGCUA
rnacentral:rRNA from 1 species